rnacentral:rRNA from 1 species
UACGUAGGGGGCAAGCGUUGUCCGGAUUUAUUGGGCGUAAAGAGCGUGUAGGCGGCCAUGUAGGUCCGUUGUGAAAACUCGAGGCUCAACCUCGAGACGCCGAUGGAAACCAUGUGGCUAGAGUCCGGAAGAGGAGAGUGGAAUUCCUGGUGUAGCGGUGAAAUGCGCAGAUAUCAGGAAGAACACCAAUGGCGAAGGCAGCUCUCUGGGACGGUACUGACACUGAGACGCGAAAGCGUGGGGAGCGAACAGG